rnacentral:rRNA from 1 species
UACCAGCACCCCGAGUGGUCGGGACGUUUAUUGGGCGUAAAGCGUGCGUAGGCGGCUAUUUAAGUCUGGUGUUAAAGCUAGGGGCUCAACCCCUGUGAUGCACUGGAUACUGGGUAGCUUGAGUGCGGUAGGGGAAGGUGGAAUUCCGAGUGUAGCGGUGAAAUGCGUAGAUAUUCGGAAGAACACCGGUGGCGAAGGCGACCUUCUGGGCCGCAACUGACGCUGAGGCACGAAAGCCUGGGGAGCGAACGGG